AUUGAACGCUGGCGGCAGGCUUAACACAUGCAAGUCGAGCGGAGAGAGGUAGCUUGCUACUGAUCUUAGCGGCGGACGGGUGAGUAAUGCUUAGGAAUCUGCCUAUUAGUGGGGGACAACAUUUCGAAAGGAAUGCUAAUACCGCAUACGUCCUACGGGAGAAAGCAGGGGAUCUUCGGACCUUGCGCCAAUAGAUGAGCCUAAGUCGGAUUAGCUAGUUGGUGGGGUAAAGGCCUACCAAGGCGACGAUCUGUAGCGGGUCUGAGGAGGAUGAUCCGCCACACUGGGACUGAGACACGGCCUAGACUCCUACGGGAGGCAGCAGUGGGGAAUAUUGGACAACGGGCGGAAGCCUGAUCCAGCCAUGCCGCGUGUGUGAAGAAGGCCUUAUGGUUGUAAAGCACUUUAAGCGAGGAGGAGGCUACUUUAGUUAAUACCUAGAGAUAGUGGACGUUACUCGCAGAAUAAGCACCGGCUAACUCUGUGCCAGCAGCCGCAGUAA
rnacentral:rRNA from 1 species